rnacentral:tRNA from 1 species
GGAACCUGGGGCGGGGCGGAAUCCGUCGCUUAACCGAGAGGGGUAGAGGUCGCAAGUUCAAAUCUUGCAGGUUCCU